GCAAUGCCGCGUGCAGGAAGAAGGCCUUCGGGUUGUAAACUGCUUUUGUACGGAGCGAAAAGGCUCUCUCUAACACAGGGGGCUCAUGACGGUACCGUAAGAAUAAGCACCGGCUAACUACGUGCCAGCAGCCGCGGUAAUACGUAGGGUGCAAGCGUUAAUCGGAAUUACUGGGCGUAAAGCGUGCGCAGGCGGUUUUGUAAGACAGGCGUGAAAUCCCCGGGCUCAACCUGGGAAUGGCGCUUGUGACUGCAAAGCUGGAGUGCGGCAGAGGGGGAUGGAAUUCCGCGUGUAGCAGUGAAAUGCGUAGAUAUGCGGAGGAACACCGAUGGCGAAGGCAAUCCCCUGGGCCUGCACUGACGCUCAUGCACGAAAGCGUGGGGAGCAAACAGGAUUAGAUACCCUGGUAGUCCACGCCCUAAACGAUGUCAACUGGUUGUUGGGUAUUU
rnacentral:rRNA from 1 species